rnacentral:tRNA from 1 species
AAAGGGAGACCUAAUUCAGGUAUGGGAUGAAAAAAAAGUAGUCCCAACCAAGAAUCAAUCCCAAAAGGUCGGAGCGAGGCAAAAUUGGCUUUCAAACUAGGUUCUGGGUUCACACAAGACCUGAAUCAGGAACAAGGGCUAUUAGCUCAGGUGGUUAGAGCGCACCCCUGAUAAGGGUGAGGUCCCUGGUUCGAGUCCAGGAUGGCCCACCUGCACAGGUGGCCAAAACAAAGAAAAAAAGCUCCGAAUCAGCACCUUAUCUUACUUAUAUAGUAAGAGAGAAUGCUGGCUCUGAGUACAGAGUCCAGAGGAACCUUGAAAACUGCAUAGAGCUAGGUGAAAAAGCCAAAAAAGAAGACCGCAAG